rnacentral:rRNA from 1 species
UACGUAGGGUGCGAGCGUUGUCCGGAAUUAUUGGGCGUAAAGAGCUUGUAGGCGGUUUGUCGCGUCUGCUGUGAAAUUUCGGGGCUCAACCCCGAACUUGCAGUGGGUACGGGCAGACUAGAGUGUGGUAGGGGAGACUGGAAUUCCUGGUGUAGCGGUGAAAUGCGCAGAUAUCAGGAGGAACACCGGUGGCGAAGGCGGGUCUCUGGGCCG